UAGGGAAUCUUCGGCAAUGGACGAAAGUCUGACCGAGCAACGCCGCGUGAGUGAAGAAGGGUUUCGGAUCGUAAAACUCUGUUGUUAGAGAAGAACAAGGACGUUAGUAACUGAACGUCCCCUGACGGUAUCUAACCAGAAAGCCACGGCUAACUACGUGCCAGCAGCCGCGGUAAUACGUAGGUGGCAAGCGUUGUCCGGAUUUAUUGGGCGUAAAGCGAGCGCAGGCGGUUUCUUAAGUCUGAUGUGAAAGCCCCCGGCUCAACCGGGGAGUGUCAUUGGAAACUGGGAGACUUGAGUGCAGAAGAGGAGAGUGGAAUUCCAUGUGUAGCGGUGAAAUGCGUAGAUAUAUGGAGGAACACCAGUGGCGAAGGCGGCUCUCUGGUCUGUAACUGACGCUGAGGCUGGAAAGCGUGGGGAGCAAACAGG
rnacentral:rRNA from 1 species